UCUCCAUAUUGGCUCCUGGAAGCUGUGUCACCAGGCCUGGCCUAAAAUAAAGCCUUUGCUCCCCAAAUUUUAAUUUCUUGCUUCCUUGGAUUUUAUUCUGGGGUCCGAGCUAUCAGAUUUGGGGGCUCAUCUGGGAUGGAAGCAAGAUCCCAGACUCAAUUGUGAACACCUAAAACUGAAGAGAGACUGUGCAUUCACACUCUUGGGCAAAAAGGAGUCUGAGAACUAGACGGAUCUACAUCUACUGAUAAGUAGAGAAUCAAACGCCUGUUCCCUUCCUCCUGACCUAACUGGGACCCCAAUACAGAUGAAGUCAACACUGGUUUAAUCAUCAAACAUGGGAGCAAAGACUUGUCCUUCCAAUGACACUGUGGCUAUGAGAGCUCUUCUAAUUCUGCUUUUCAAACAGCCUUCCCAGGAAUCCAGGAUGCAAAGAGAAUUUCAGAUUUUUAAGAUAUUUUAACUGAGAUUUUAUUCAUAUGGAGCAACUAUGUCUCCAGACAAACGUCAUUGUGAGAAAAGCUUCUUUUCUUGAUACAUUUUCGACUCCUUCCUUCAAGAAUUAAAAUGUUUAUUUCCAAUUGGAAUUGAGCUGUCCUUAAACUUGCUUAGGAUGGUAAAUCAACAUUGGUCCAGUUCUGAAUCCAGACCUUCAUCACUCAAGGAUCUACAGAAGAUAAACUUUGGGUUUCUAGAAGAUGCUUAUGUGCACAAUAUGUACAAGAUACAAAGCUAGAGAAUGGUCACUUCUGUAGGGAAUCAUUUCAAGAUGUUUUGCAUCUAACAGACUAAGUGAAGGGUACCAGUCACAUCAAGAAAUCUAUGCCAGUUUUUAACGUUAUUGCUAAUCUCCAGGUUGCCAAGAGAAGGCCAGAAUUUAUAUCCUCCCACCUCAGCCUCUCGGAUGACUCAGAUUACAGAUGCACACUGCCAAACUCAGCUCCUAUAGUAGGAUUUACAGUACUAGUCAACAGCUUUGCUGGCAGUGGAACCCAGGGCCUCACACAGGUGACUCCACUGUUGCCAUGGUAACUGUCUAUGGGCAAGAAUUCAAUGACAGCAUCUUAAGUGGACACACAGACCACUGUCUGUCGUCUUUCUGUACCUCUCACAGAUACUUUGAUGCAAAAGCCACAUAUUCAUUUCAUCUUGGAAAUGAACUGAAUGGUUUGAACAGUGACAUCAGAACUCAUGAAUGAGUACUUGUUCUUUCGCAUCAAAAGUAUGUUCUAUAUGGCAUCUUGGAAAUUCCCAGUGGGGUUGACGUCAUUGUUCCCCAGGAAUACUAAUCUUAAUAAUGACUCCUUGGAUUUGUUUUUUUCCAUGCCAUUCUACCUUGACUUUCAAUUCUGUGCACACAUAAGUUCUCAAAGUAAAGCCCUUCAAGUAUGCUAAUAAAUGAUCAUGAACUCA